GAGUUUGAUCCUGGCUCAGAAUCAACGCUGGCGGCGUGCCUAACACAUGCAAGUCGAACGCGAAAGUCCCGCAAGGGAUAAGUAGAGUGGCAAACGGGUGAGUAACGCGUGGGUGACCUGCCUUCGAGCGGGGGAUAACGUUCCGAAAGGGACGCUAAUACCGCAUAACAUCCUGCCUUUGAAGAGGUGGAGAUCAAAGCCAGGGCUUCGCAAGAACCUGGCACUUGAAGAGGGGCCCGCGUCUGAUUAGCUAGUUGGUGAGGUAACGGCUCACCAAGGCGACGAUCAGUAUCCGGCCUGAGAGGGCGGACGGACACACUGGGACUGAGACACGGCCCAGACUCCUACGGGAGGCAGCAGUGGGGAUAUUGCACAAUGGACGAAAGUCUGAUGCAGCAACGCCGCGUGCACGAUGAAGGCCUUCGGGUCGUAAAGUGCUUUUCCGGGAGAUGAGGAAGGACAGUACCCCGGGAAUAAGGUACGGCUAACUACGUGCCAGCAGCCGCGGUAAAACGUAGGUACCGAGCGUUAUCCGGAUUCACUGGGCGUAAAGCGCGUGCAGGUGGUUUGGUAAGUCGGGCAUGAAAACUCUUGGCUCAACUAAGAGGCGCUGUCCGAUACUGCUGAACUUGAGGGUGUGAGAGGGAGGUGGAAUUCCGCAUGUAGUGGUGAAAUGCGUAGAUAUGCGGAGGAACACCAGUGGCGAAGGCGGCCUCCUGGCACACUCCUGACACUCAUACGCGAAAGCUAGGGGAGCGAACGGGAUUAGAAACCCCGGUAGUCCUAGCCGUAAACGAUGAUUACUAGGUGUAAGUGGUAUCAAGCCCACUUGUGCCGAAGCUAACGCGAUAAGUAAUCCGCCUGGGGACUACGAUCGCAAGAUUAAAACUCAAAGGAAUUGACGGGGGCCCGCACAAGCAGCGGAGCGUGUGGUUUAAUUCGAGGCUACGCGAAGAACCUUACCCAGGUUUGACAUGUAAGUAGUAGUGAAGCGAAAGCGGAACGAUCCUUCGGGAAGCUUACACAGGUGAUGCAUGGCUGUCGUCAGCUCGUGCCGUGAGGUGUUUGGUUAAGUCCAGUAACGAGCGCAACCCUUAGGGCCAGUUACAAGUGUCUGGCGCGACUGCCGGUCUUAAGCCGGAGGAAGGUGGGGAUGACGUCAAGUCAGCAUGUCCUUUAUAUCUGGGGCUACACACACGCUACAAUGGGCGGUACAAUGGGUCGCCAACCCGCGAGGGGGAGCCAAUCCUAAAAAACCGUCCUCAGUUCAGAUCGCAGGCUGCAACUCGCCUGCGUGAAGUCGGAGUUGCUAGUAAAUGCAGGACAGCUAUACUGCAUUGAUACGUUCCCGGGCCUUGCACACAC
rnacentral:rRNA from 1 species